AUGCGGGUGUGGCGUCCUCUUAAUAAUAAACGGUAACGAAACGUCCGUGGGCUCAUUUUUUUUACUGGGACGAAACGUACACGAUUCCUUUUUGCCGCCCGAAAACGGAACAAUAAUAACUUGAUUAAUGCCUCGUACCACCGCCUCCUUAUUAGCGGUCGAUUAUAUAAUAAUUGGGCCUUCGGUAAUGCAACGCAAUACGACGUAUUGCUAUCGAAAUGAUAAAACAUGUUGUAAAAUGCAUCGUAUUUUCAAGCAUUCUGAAAUUCAGCACAUCGAAUGCCUUGAUGUAUCGGAACACCGUAGGUUUCAAUCAUAACCAUGGUCUAACCCGAUCUGAUGGAUUAUAUGCGCUUAAAAAUCACUGAUAAGGCCCGUUAUCACUAACGAAUAAAUUAAUAGGUGUUCAGAACACCGUGUUCUGGAAAUAAAGUGAUUUUUACCGAUUUCAUGACGUAGCGUACUGUAUUUCCAUCAAGAAUCGCAGCGUUGCAUUACCGAAGGCGCAAUAAUAAAUAUUGAUAUCCGCGUAUAAUCGCAUAUUAUAAUUUGUAACGUUGUGUUCAUUAGCCAGUCAAACGAAAUACGCCGAUACGUUGAGUCGUCGCGAGCAGUGCGAUUUUUUUUUGUCAAAUUAUUAUCGUAGGCGCGAAUCGCCGUUGUUUUAUUAUUAAUUUAAUAAUUAUUAUUGAUGGGCGCGAAUUGCUACCAUUACUGUUUUUUUUUUUAUUAUCGUAGGUAAUUGUGGCACACGAAAAUCGUCGUGCGUUACUGUGAUCACUAUAAUCCACCUCUAAUAGCCAGAUUAUAGCAUUCUCUGUAUUUCGCCGCCAUAAAAGGUCAUAAUAUUGUCAUACUUAUUUAUUUCGAUUGCUAAGCGUCGUAGUGUAUUUUUAUUAUUGUUAUUAUUGUGAACCAUAUUAUAGGCGUAAGGAGUUGACUUGCUGGCCAGUCUGCGCUCCUUAAUUUAUACUAGAAGAAGUUGUGGCUGACAAAUUCCUAACCUUAUCAUCUGAACAGGUCGUUAAGUUGGUCUCCAGUUAUGAGCUUACUGUUCCAUCUGAAGAAAAAGAGUUGUUGCAAUCUGGUUUAUUGUAUGUCGUCAUUGGAAGUAAUGAAAUAUGUCGUGGUUUGAUGUCUGUAGAAUUUUACAGUCCCCACACCAAUACCUAGAAACGUCAAUGAAUGUAUGAAAACAUCUUCCAAGAAUAGAAGUCAUUGAUGGGCCAACUCAUUUUUCAAAUUUGUUAUUGUACAUGAUUUUUUUUUCUGUAAUUAUAAC
rnacentral:misc_RNA from 1 species